rnacentral:ncRNA from 2 species
AUUCUGCACUAGGGGAGCUGGAGAAGCCGGCUGAGAGUAAGACCUUUUGUCUUUGACCCUUCAAACCUGAACUAGUUAAAACUAGCGUAGGGAAGUCGCGUUACGAUAUUA